rnacentral:lncRNA from 1 species
UACAGAUGCCCCUAUUUAAGGUCAUUCUAGCCGGAGAAGUGAAGGUUAAAAUCUUCAUCUCGACACGGUAGAAUGGGCUUAAAUAACAAUAAUGAGACAAAUUUUGGUCCCUAAGAGACCUCAUGAUGCAAAUGUAUGAAUGCAAAAGAAACAAACUCUGUGGGGAAUAUAGGUCCACAAUGAAGAAAAGACGAUCCAUCGGAGUAAUACACUCACCAGGAACAGAGACUCUAACAGGACUCUUA